rnacentral:pre_miRNA from 1 species
AUCACCCAUGUUUCUUGUUAAAAUGUAGAUUCUGAUUCAGUAGAUCCAAGGUGGGUUCUGAAAUUCUACAUUUCUAAAAAGUUCUCAAGUGAUGCUGA